AAUCUAGAAGAAGCAUUUUUGCACAAAGUACAAUACUGAAACCAAUGUGCAGAAGUGUUUUUGCUGCAUU
rnacentral:pre_miRNA from 1 species